CCUACGGGGGGCUGCAGUAAGGAAUAUUGGUCAAUGGACGAAAGUCUGAACCAGCCAUCCCGCGUGCAGGAUGAAAGCCCUAUGGGUUGUAAACUGCUUUUAGCAGAGAAGAAAAGCUUUCAUUAAUGAGAGUCUGACGGUAUCUGCAGAAUAAGCACCGGCUAACUCCGUGCCAGCAGCCGCGGUAAUACGGAGGGUGCGAGCAUUAUCCGGUAUAACUGGGUCGUAGGCGGAGUAAGAAGGAGUAUUAGAAAUCUUGUCGCUUAACGAUAAAAUUGCGAAUGUUACUGGUACUCUUGAAUUGGGUUGAGGUUAGCGGAAUGUGACAUGUAGCGGUGAAAUGCAUAGAUAUGUCAUGGAACACCAAUUGCGAAGGCAGCUAACUGGGCCUUGAUUGACGCUGAGGCACGAAAGCGUGGGUAGCGAACAGGAUUAGAUACCCGAGUAGUC
rnacentral:rRNA from 1 species